AGAGCGCCGCCCACCCAUCCGGGGCGAAGCGCGCGGGGAAGCAGGCUGGGCCGGGGGCUGCCAGCCUCAACCCCCAAGGUGACUCCUCGGCCCCCUGCCCGGACCCAAGAUGAUGAAGAGGCAGUUGCACCGCAUGCGGCAGCUGGCCCACACGGGCAGCUCGGGACGCACCCCGGAGACUGCCGAGUUUUUGGGUGAGGACCUGCUGCAGGUAGAGCAACGGCUGGAGCCAGCUAAACGAGCAGCCCACAAUGUUCACAAACGGCUGCAGGCCUGUCUGCAGGGCCAAAGCGGGGCUGACAUGGACAAGCGGGUGAAGAAGCUUCCUCUCAUGGCUCUUUCUACCACGAUGGCAGAGAGCUUCAAGGAACUGGAUCCUGAUUCCAGCAUGGGGAAGGCCUUGGAGAUGACCUGCGCCAUCCAGAACCAGCUGGCCCGAAUCCUAGCCGAGUUUGAGAUGACCCUGGAGAGGGAUGUCCUGCAGCCGCUCAGCAGGCUGAGCGAGGAGGAGCUGCCUGCCAUCCUGAAGCACAAGAAAAGCCUUCAGAAGCUGGUGUCUGACUGGAACACCCUCAAAAGCAGAGUCCUGUGUGAUUACGUGUAUGGAGGGGACACUUAGCUCUGGCCAUGCAAUGGGGCCAGUGACCACCCACCUUGGGAUCCUCCCCAGGCUCAGCCAGGCAGCCAAGAACUCAGGAAGCAACCAAGGCCUGGGUGGUGCCUCAGGCAGUCACACCCACACCACCACUGCCAACAAGGUAGAGAUGCUGAAGGAGGAAGAGGAGGAGCUCAAGAAGAAGGUGGAACAGUGCAAGGACGAGUACCUGGCCGAUCUCUACCACUUCUCCACCAAGGAGGAUUCUUAUGCCAACUACUUUAUUCAUCUCUUGGAGAUUCAGGCUGACUACCACCGCAAGUCACUGACCUCACUCGACACGGCCCUAGCUGAGCUGAGGGACAACCACAGCCAAGCAGACCACUCCCCCUUGACGACGGCUGCCCCCUUCUCCAGGGUAUAUGGGGUAUCUUUGAGAACCCACCUACAAGACCUAGGCCGUGACAUUGCCCUGCCCAUCGAGGCCUGCGUCCUGUUGCUGCUGUCAGAGGGCAUGCAGGAGGAGGGCCUCUUCCGUCUGGCUGCUGGGGCCUCUGUGCUGAAGCGCCUUAAGCAGACCAUGGCCUCAGAUCCCCACAGCCUAGAGGAAUUCUGCUCAGACCCCCAUGCUGUAGCAGGUGCCCUCAAGUCCUAUCUCCGGGAGCUGCCGGAGCCCCUGAUGACCUCUGACCUCUACGAUGACUGGAUGAGAGCAGCCAGCCUGAAGGAGCCAGGAGCCCGCCUGGAAGCCCUCCAUGAUGUUUGCAGCCGUCUACCCCAAGAGAACUUCAACAACCUCAGGUACCUGAUGAAGUUCCUGGCUCUGCUGGCAGAGGAGCAGGAUGUAAACAAGAUGACACCCAGCAACAUCGCCAUUGUCCUAGGACCCAACCUGCUGUGGCCUCCCGAGAAAGAAGGGGACCAGGCCCAACUGGACGCUGCCUCUGUGUCCUCCAUUCAGGUGGUGGGUGUUGUCGAGGCGCUGAUACAGAACGCAGACACCCUCUUCCCUGGAGAUAUCAACUUCAAUGUAUCAGGCAUCUUCCCAGGCCUGGCCCCCCAGGAGAAGGUCAGUAGCCAACAGGUCUCAGAGGAGUUGCCACCUGUUACUGUGCCUGCCCCAGCCACGACCCCAGCUCCCACCCCGGCUCCAGCCUCAAUGGCUGUCAGAGAAAGGACAGAGGCUGACUUGCCCAAACCAACUUCUCCCAAGGUCAGCAGGAACCCCACCGAAACAGCUGCUUCGGCGGAGGACAUGACCCGUAAGACCAAGCGCCCAGCCCCAGCCCGGCCUACCAUGCCACCUCCCCAGCCCUCCAGCACCCGCUCAUCCCCUCCAGCUCCAUCCCUGCCCCCUGGCUCUGUCAGCCCUGGUACUCCCCAAGCUCUGCCUCGCCGUCUGGUGGGCACCAGCCUCCGGGCCCCUACCAUGCCUCCCCCGUUACCCCCUGUUCCUCCACAGCCUGCCCGGCGUCAGAGCCGGCGUUUACCAGCCUCCCCUGUCAUCUCAAAUAUGCCUGCUCAGGUGGACCAGGGAGUAGCUACAGAGGACAGAGGAGGCCCUGAGGCUGUGGGUGGGCAUCCCCCUCCACCAGCUCUGCCACCCCAGCCCCGGCCCAGGGGCCUCAUUUCAGAGACAGAGUAAGCAGGCCCUCCUACCUGGCAGGUCCUCAUUGUCCCUUUCUCUCUCCUGCCAUCCUCCCUCCCUUGUCCUCCCAGGAUGGCCCUUGUCCAGUGCCUGGGUGCCUGCUGGGCCGGCCCCUAUGGCCAGGAGGGCUCAGGCCAGCCCUCUCAUUUCUAACCUUUUCCUCUUCCACUUUGAGCUUGGGGUUCCCACCUGACUCCCCACUCUCCGGCAGGGUCUCAAGGGAGCUACCAGAAGGAAGAACAGACUUGCCUGUUCCUAGAGGACUUUUAUUUUUUUUCUCUUGCCAAUGUAUUUUUGUAAGGCUCGUAAAUAAAUUAUUUUGAACAAAA